UUGGUCGUUCUUGGCUAGUUAUAGUAGUUUGAUCACAUCGAAAAGGUACAACCACUCUAUCGAUAUUCAAUACCUCAGGAUAAAGAUAGGGUUAAAACCAAUAACUAUUAGGUGAGGAUUCCAAUGAUGGCUUUAUAUCCGUUGGUAAACAGUGGGUUUGACUUAACUAAAAAAUAUGCCAAUAACUGUUAGGUGAGGCUACAGAACUUAGAGAUCGAACCUAUUGCAUCUUGCUUAGUGAAGCAAUGGAC
rnacentral:lncRNA from 1 species